GACGAACGCUGGCGGCGUGCUUAACACAUGCAAGUCGAACGGAAAGGCCUGCUUUCCCUUGUGGAUUGCGGGUACUCGAGUGGCGAACGGGUGAGUAACACGUGAGUGAUCUGCCCCCAACUUGGGUAUAAGCCUGGGAAACUGGGUCUAAUUCCCGAUAGGACUGCAGGGUGGUGCCUGUGGUGGAAAACGAUUUUCUAGUGGUUGGGGAUGAGCUCGCGGCCUAUCAGCUUGUUGGUGGGGUAAUGGCCUACCAAGGCGGCGACGGGUAGCCGGCCUGAGGGGGUGGACGGCCACAUUGGGACUGAGAUACGGCCCAGACUCCUACGGGAGGCAGCAGUGGGGAAUAUUACACAAUGGGCGGAAGCCUGAUGCAGCGACGCCGCGUGGGGGAUGACGGCCUUCGGGUUGUAAACUCCUUUCGACCGCGAGGAAGCCACCUGGUUGGAGGGGUGGUGACGGUAGUGGUAGAAGAAGCACCGGCUAACUACGUG
rnacentral:rRNA from 1 species